GAGAGGGUCUUAUGACCUGCUAACUCUUAAACCUGGGAGACAAACCCAGCCCUCUCU
rnacentral:tRNA from 1 species